rnacentral:rRNA from 1 species
AGAGUUUGAUCCUGGCUCAGGAUGAUUUCUAGCGGCAGGCCUAACACAUGCAAGUCGAGGGGCAGCGGGACGGAAGCUUGCUUUCGUUGCCGGCGACCGGCGGACGGGUGCGUAACGCGUAUGGAACCUACCUUUCACUGGGGGAUAACAUCGAGAAAUUGGUACUAAUACCCCAUAACAUCAGAGGCGGCAUCGCCUUUGGUUGAAAACUCCGGUGGUGAGAGAUGGACAUGCGUUGUAUUAGUUAGUUGGUGGGGUAACGGCUCACCAAGACGACGAUACAUAGGGGGACCGAGAGGUUAGCCCCCCACAUUGGUACUGAGACACGGACCAAACUCCUACGGGAGGCAGCAGUGAGGAAUAUUGGUCAAUGGACGCAAGUCUGAACCAGCCAUGCCGCGUGCAGGAAGACGGCUCUAUGAGUUGUAAACUGCUUUUGUACGAGGGUAAACCCGGAUACGCGUAUCCGGCUGAAAGUAUCGUACGAAUAAGGAUCGGCUAACUCCGUGCCAGCAGCCGCGGUAAUACGGAGGAUUCAAGCGUUAUCCGGAUUUAUUGGGUUUAAAGGGUGCGUAGGCGGUUCGAUAAGUUAGAGGUGAAAUUCCGGGGCUCAACCCCGGCACUGCCUCUGAUACUGUCGGACUAGAGUACAGAUGCGGUAGGCGGAAUGUAUGGUGUAGCGGUGAAAUGCAUAGAGAUCAUACAGAACACCGAUUGCGAAGGCAGCUUACCAAACUGCAACUGACGUUGAGGCACGAAAGCGUGGGUAGCGAAAAGGAUUAGAUACCCUGGUAGUCCACGCAGUAAACGGAUGAUAACUCGUUUUCGGCGAUAUCCGGUCGGUGACCAAGCGAAAGCGAUAAGUUAUCCACCUGGGGAGUACGUUCGCAAGAAUGAAACUCAAAGGAAUUGACGGGGACCCGCACAAGCGGUGGAGCAUGUGGUUUAAUUCGAUGCAACGCGAAGAACCUUACCCGGCCUUGACAUCCUCCCGAAUACUGAGUAAUGUCAGUAGACCUUCGGGACGGGAGAGACAGGUGGUGCAUGGUUGUCGUCAGCUCGUGUCGUGAGAUGUUGGGUUAAGUCCCGCAACGAGCGCAACCCCUACAGCCAGUAGCCAGCAGGUAAAGCUGGGCACUCUGGCGGGACAGCCUGGGAUAACCAGGAGGAAGGCGGGGACGACGUCAAAUCAUCAUCCCCCUUAUGGCCGGGGCUACAUACGUGCUACAAUGGCGUAAACAGAGGGAAGCGAGAUAGCGAUAUUAAGCAAAGCCCAAAAAUAACGCCUCAGUUCGGAUUGCAGCCUGCAACUCGGCUGCAUGAAGCCGGAAUCGCUAGUAAUCGCGGAUCAGAAUGCCGCGGUGAAUACGUUCCCGGG